ACUCAAAGGAAUAGACGGGGACCCGCACAAGCGGAGGAUCAUGCGGUUUAAUUCGAUGGUACGCGGAAACCUCACCUGGACUUGACAUAUAGCUGCAAGUUUCUGGAAACAGAAACCUCUUUCGAAGGUGCUAAACAGGUGCUGCAUGGUUGCCGUCAGCUCGUGCCGUGAGGUGUACCCUUAAGUGGGGUAACGAGCGCAACCCUCGUUCUGUGUUAAAUGUACACAGAAGACUGCCGGCGCAAGCCGGAGGAAGGUGGGGACGACGUCAAAUCAGCAUGGCUCUUACGUCCAGGGCUACACGCAUGAUACAAUGGCCGGUACAAAGGGUAGCCAAACCGCAAGGUGGAGCUAAUCCCAUAAAACCGGUCCCAGUUCGGAUUGAAGGCUGCAACUCGCCUUCAUGAAGUUGGAUUCGCUAGUAAACGCGCAUCAGAUCGGCGCGUUGAAUACGUUCUCGGGUCUUGUACACACCGCCCGU
rnacentral:rRNA from 1 species